CCGAACUUCUGGCAAGGACAGAGCCGAAGAGUAUCAAUGUAGCCAAAAAAUUCGAUCUGAGAAAAGUUAUCUGCAGAAAGACCUUCAGCUGCCCGAAGGGCUGCACUUCAGAGAGCCUUGUCCUCCUUUUAGGCCAGAUUCUAUUUGACAGUCUGAGGACUGUCAAAAAAUAGCCACAAAAUGGAAUCAUCAGUACCGUAUUCCUGGAAGCACUGGUCCUUAGGGAUCCAGAAUACUUGGGGAAUACUUUAUUCUGAUUGAACCACCACUUCCCUAAUCAAUCAUGUUGGCUACUGAACAGCAACCAGAGUGCCUUUAUGCAGACGAAAAUCGCCACAGCCUAAAUCCGUAUGAACAAUGUCUUGCCCAUUUCAAAUGGAAGGUUUUCAUUCAUGCUUAAAUAGCAGCAUUUCAUAAAGGAAAUAUCCAUAGCAGAAUAAAUGACUCCUGUACCAAAAAUUUCUGAGACUCUUUAGAAUUAAAGUCACAGUUCAAAUAGA
ensembl:lncRNA novel transcript, antisense to RGS20